UACAGGGGGUGCUAGCGUUGUUCGGAAUUACUGGGCGUAAAGGGCGCGUAGGCUGCUCAACAAGUCUGUUGUGAAAUCCCGGGGCUUAACUCCGGACGUGCAAUGGAAACUGUUGGGCUAGAGUGUAGUAGAGGUUGGUGGAAUUCCUAGUGUAGAGGUGAAAUUCGUAGAUAUUAGGAGGAACACCGGUGGCGAAGGCGGCCAACUGGGCUACAACUGACGCUGAGGCGCGAAAGCGUGGGGAUCAAACAGG
rnacentral:rRNA from 1 species